rnacentral:lncRNA from 1 species
GUGAUGCUUGGUAACCUCAGGGGACAAGAGUGGCUGCAAAGGGCCUGGGUCCUGGCAUCUGGGGGGCUGGAGAGCAGGAUUCCUGGUUUCUGUGUGGGGAGCAGGAAGUCAGAGAGAAGGAAGUGAGGCAGCAGAAGGCGAGGAUGUAUCAGAGGAGGGAGAGGGAGGCCUGGGUGCCCUGGGGAGACGGAGGCUAGGAGGCUGGGGGAGGGAGUCAGGGAGGGCACAUACUGAGUGCGAGUCGCCAGCCUCUUCCUGCCUACCUCUGUCUUUCCAGUCAUCAGUCCCAUCCCAGGAGCCUUCCAGGACUCAGCUCUCAGUCCUACCCAGGAAGAACCUGAAGAUCUGGACUGCGGGCGCCCUGAGCCCUCGGCCCGCAUCGUGGGGGGCUCAAACGCGCAGCCGGGCACCUGGCCUUGGCAAGUGAGCCUGCACCAUGGAGGUGGCCACAUCUGCGGGGGCUCCCUCAUCGCCCCCUCCUGGG